CUACAUCUAGUGGAGAGAGAUUGUAAGACAUAAAUAGUAGCUUUACGUCUAGAUGUAACGGAGGGUCCGUUUUUUCAUCUUUUCUCCAAUACUAUAGAGCCAUUACCAUGUCGAUCAACGCUUGAAUAGAAACCUAGUUCACACCCCCGAUUUUAAAGUCGCUACAUACAUUCCCAUUCGUUUUCUUUGUAGCUUCGUUUGAAUGUCGCGGUUGUGCACAUUUAUACGGAAUGGGGUGAGUUUACGUUACCUAGUUGCCAGCCAGCUAGCUACUGCUAUCAUGACUAGUUAUGUGUGUAAUACCAUAGACUUAUAGGCCGGUAAUUAUCGGUAUUAUCAAAGAAGAUUAUCUAAUAGUUCGACUGAAGAAACCACUAUUCUUGGCACUGGGUUCGCGGUUCAAAUGAGUGCAAUAUCAACGCCAGCAUCAUCAGUACCAACAUACAUCAAUUUCAGCAGACAGAGUUGAGAGUCCUGAUGACAACCUGGAUCAGACUCCCUUGUUUUCAGACCAGACAGGUCCACUGUUCCCUUUAUCAUCUUUCCGUCUCCUGGUUCCACCUCUACGACUGAUGUCAGCUUUCAUGUGGCAAGUGGCUCAAGAGCGUAAUGUGAUGCAGUAUGGGAAGCUGGAGGAGUUUGUGACUUUGGUGACAGAGAUGAUUCCAGAGCUGCUGAGCUCCAGGCAGAGGACCCAACUCAUCCUGGGACUGAGAGCAAGAGUGAGAAGUGGGAGGGUGGAGAAGGAAUGGAGGCAUGGGUGUUCAGAAAUGAUCUUAGUCCAAUAACUAUUAUUCUCAUAAAAUCUACUUUCAGAUGGUUUUAGAGUUGUUUCGUAAUGAAAACCCACCGGACCCCCAGACCAUCCAACUUCCAACUUCCAACAUCCAAUGUCUUCAGUACAUGCUGUGCAUGAGGAUGUAUGUAACUUUCGGUGUCUAAAGUAGUCUGGAUGCUGUAUCAUUCAUUUUACAUGCCCAGUCACAGAGUAGAAAUUAGUUGGAGUCUUCAGAGUCUAACUUCGUGGAGCCGGUCAAAACCCUGCUCAAAGACCCUUCUCAGAAGAAGCACUUCUUCCAGGUUGGAAAUACCCUAAUGAAUCAUAGUUGUCGCUUUCAGAGUCAAUAGGACAGCAUGUUCCAGCAAUGUAAAACUCAGUAGUGAAAUGUUGCUUGUUUUACUGUAACUGAUGAAAGGCCAUACAAAAUGAAAAAUCCAGCAAUGUGUUGGUUUCAACUACGCAUGUUUUUAUUUUUCACUCUCAGGUGGGGUUCCCAAUAUGUUACACCCUCGGUAUGACACAGCACUGCAGAUACUGGUGUUGGGAGUUUCUCUCCUGAUUGGAGGAGCUGCUGCCUGUACCAGACCUCAGAGACAGCAUCUUGUCUCAGCCUUGCCCCCUCUGACCUGGAGGAGUUCUGGCAUUCUGUCUCUGACCCCGAGCACCUGAAGACACUGCUGCAGCAUCAUAGACAUCUGGGUCACUUGAGCAAAAAGUCGCAGACAACAUCUUGUCCACAUUGUCAAUUCCUCAAAUUCAUGGCCUGAAGUCAAGUCUCGAUGGACAUGAAGGCAUGAAAGGGAGCACAGAGGGGUGGAAGAUCAACAGUGAGGAAGGAGGAGAGUUGCAUUUUGAAAAGAACUUGUAGGAUGAUGGAAGUGAAAGAAAUGAAGACCCUGAGAGAGGAUUGAAGGAUGAGGAUGAUGCAAACUGGACUUCCCAUCUGAGUGAACCAGAGGACUUGGAUGAACUGGCUAGUGGCAUGCCCUCCGAGGUCUUCUCCUGCCCCCAGUGGUGAACCUUGGUGAACCUUCAGCAGCACAUCAGGAAGGAACAUCUAACAGAGGACAGCAGGAGCCUGAGAACUCACUGCCAUCCAGUCAAACUGCCAAGAGCUCCUCAGCCAAGAGCUCCUCAGCCAAGAGAAUGAAUAAGAACACCUGAACAUCUGACCUGAAACGACACCAAAGUGUUCACACCAGGGUGCACCCGUUCUGUUGCAACCAGUGUGAGAAGAGAUUCAAAUCGGAGAGAUAUCUACAACUGCACAAGAAAAGUCACGAAGUAGAACCGAUGCACAGGCCUAUUUGCCAGCACUGUGGUAAGAGUUACACUAGUGCAGCUGUCCUCAAAAUACACAUACGCACCCACACCGGAGAGCGGCCUUACUCCUGCUCAGUCUGUGGGAAGAAGUUUAAUCAAAAGCACACAUUAGUUAGACACCUCCGGAUGCACAAAGGAGAGAGACCAUACCUGUGUAGCGUAUGCGGGAAGGCUUUCUUUGUUUCCGGGGAACUCUUAGUGCACAUGCGUUUUCACACAGGGGAACGACCUUACCGCUGUAAACCGUGUGGAAAGGCUUUCAGCAGGUCAUGCGCUCUCACGUCGCAUAAGCGAUGGCACUCAAAUGAGCGCCCGUUCACCUGCUCCCUGUGUUCAAAGGGCUUUGCGGAAACUGGUGGCCUUAAAAGACACAUGUUUAUUCAUACCGAGGAGAAGCACCAUUGCUGCCACGUGUGGGAAAGGAUUUAGUCAGUUGAGCAACAUGAGAAUACAUUUGAAAACUCAUAAAAAAAUGUAAUUGGAUCUUUGUAAGACUAAUGGAAUUUGUACGCUAUUGUAGUGUUUCUCCUUGAGCUCAAAGCCAAAAGCAAGAAAAAUAUGAAAUUGCAUUAUAGGUAGUGUACAUCGCCCUGAGAAGGUUUUCACACUGACUAAGUAGCCAUUCUGUUAUUUUCCCCUUGGAAAGGUGAUCGGUUGUUCAGGAACUUUGGGCACAGACUUCACAAUGACACUGAGGUUCAGACCUGGGUUCAAAUACUAUUUCAAAUACCUCAACUUUCCCCUACAUUGUCCAAGUAAGUAUUCAGAUAUAUUUUAUUUCAGAAGACAAGUAGUUGAAUAUUUUAAUGUAUUUGAAAAUACUAAAAUACACUGACUCAAAUACACUCCCAUGCAUUUUACCCAGGUAUUUGAAAAUAGUAUUUAAAAUAAGUGUUUAAAAAUACUCUUACUGUUUUUUUUUACAAAUAGCCAUUCAAAUAGAAGUACUUGUUUUGUUUUUGAAAAUGCUCAAAUACACUGAAAAAUGUAUUUGAAAUACCAGAUAUUGAAAUGCAUAUUUGAACCCAGGUCUGAUUGUAAUAAAAAUCACUCAUUAAUUGUCUGUGGUGACUCUAAUUAGUAAAUUAACUAAUACUACAGCAUGUGUAUGUAUAUUAUGUACAUGAUGCUACAUUUAUUAUCUGUCAUACACUUAAUAAAAACUUUAUGUGUAGGAAAGGAUUUACUCGGAUGAGCAACAUGAGAAUAUGUUUGAAAACUCGUAAGACAUAAACUCAUUUGUCAGACUGAAGUGAUUUUCUUUUACACUCGUGUUAGGUGUUUGUAUUUCUCCUUGAGCUCAUUGUAUUAUAGGUAAUGUACAAUGAACAAAAAUAUAAAUGCAACAAGUGUUGGUUUCAUGAGCUGAAAUAAAAGAUCCCAGAAAUCUUCA